GCGUCGCCGAGCUCCCGGGCUGCUGCGGCGGCGGCGGUGUAUGGGGGGAGAGUUGCGCAGGGCCGCCGGGGGCCGAGGCCCAAAGCCCGCGCGCGUGUUUGUCCGGCAGCGCCGCCGCCGUGUGAGGAGCCCGAGGUUCCCGAAGGCCGGCCCCCCGCUCCCCGGACCCGGCGUGGGGAGUGCGCCGACCCCGGAGGCGUGGGUAAGUGCGAGUCGGGCUGCACGCGGGGGCCGCGGCUGAUACUGGGAACACGAGGAGGGCUGGCCCGACUGUCCUGAUGAUACUGGGCUUGGGAAUAGCCGUCAGAAGCGGUGACUGAUGAGUUUUAUGCCUCUGAAGCCUCCUCGGUCUAGAUGAACGUGUCCCUGCAGAACCUGCCCUUAACGCGUGUCGCCGGCCAUGUUCCAGGCAGCCGACGGCCUGCAGCGCCUUCAAGCGGGGAGCGGCAUCCCACCCUGAGGUAGGACCCGGUGGCAGGGUUUUGUUUUUUUCGUCCUUUCAGCUUCAAUGCACUGGAUUUGGCGCCUUGGGCAGUAAAUUGUGCGCGCUACCCCCCACCCCCAUCGCAAGGAAUCUCAAGGAGAACUUUGCAGGUGGCUGCUCCUAACCCCCGAACUAUUUCAGCUGCAGUUGUAUCUCGAAAUAAACUGGGUUAAGAUGAUUCUCGUUUAAAACCACCACUUUGGGCUUAAUUGCAGGGACUAUCCAGGUUUCUGGAGCAGUCCUGGGGAGUGGGAGGUGUUGACUGCUCUGAUGAAAUCACUUAUAGGAAGUGCCGUCAGAAGCGAUAACUGACGAUAACCUUUCCUGGCUGACUGCAGUCGACAAGUCCUCCCCGGCUGCGGGUACUCUGGAAUAGGAGGGUUUGAACAGUGACCCUUUCGCCCCCUCUAUUCGCCCAGAUUGCAGAUGCGUGUGCGGUUGCCAGUGUGAUCAGGUCACCAGCAGUGGAGUGUUGGAGUGAUGAGCGCUGAUCUGUCUCCAGGUAAACCUCGGUCUGUGGGACAGAUUGCAUAGCUGUCAGAUGGCGUGAAGUUCGGGUAGGGUCAGAUACACUUUUAUGUGGUGAACCCUGAUAGCUUGUAUCUGUGUCGCCCUUCUUGAUGGUACCCUAAUACUGAUUGAUGAUUAUGGUUCACGGUGACUGGAGCAGAGUGCAGAGGGAACCCAGCAAUUCUUUUUACCUCUCUGCUCUAUAAUUUGGAGCAAACUGCCUAACAGCCGAGUCUUCCUCAUCCAUGAAGAUCAUCGCUUUAGAUUUGUGAUGUUGAAAAUGAUGGGACAAAAUGAGGUUGCAACACUCAGAGAAGCCAGUUAGGACUUGGGGGCUUAGAUGACUUUUCAGUGCCCCUGUUGGAUUGAACUGGAAUUUGUAGUUGAGGCUAUCGUGAUCAAAACGGUCCUAUUCUGCCUUUGCCAUCUGCUACCUCUUAGGGGUGCCUUCAUUCAUUCCUCCAGGUUUUGUGUGUUGAGGUUCUCAAGAAUGGUGGUCAGCAGUGGAGUUUUAAAGCUGCAGCCCAAGAAGAGGUAAGCUUCCAUCUGGACAAGGACCCUCUCCCCAUGAUAGAACAAAAAUAGGUGGCUGGUUUUAAUUCUCAGAAAAAAGGAUAUCAAAUGAUGAGAUCACCCAAAAUAGCUGGAAUUACCGGCAGAUUGUAUAGUGGUGAAUGUAAUGGUUUUCUGAAGAUAACCUUGUUAAUGCUGUGAAUAACUAUUGGUUGGAGUAGAAAAUGAAGUUGAUACUUAGUUUCUUUUGCAGGCUAUGUUCCUAGAGCAUGCUCAGCCUUGCUGCAGCAGGGGAAGAACUUCAAAGGUUCAAGGACCAGUGGUCACCCAUCAGUUUGGACUGAAAACCCAGCUUCAACAGUUUGUGGAAACACUGCUUACCUUGUGCUGGGAUUCAUAGAGGCCAUUUUCUUAUCAACGGCAGAGCCAACAAAUGUGUUUGGCAACAUUUUUUUAGGAUAGGCAAUGUUGGUUGUCAUUAAAUUGAGUUUUCUAGUAAUGUAUUACAAAUAUUGUAGCCUUCUUAUCUCCCUUGUGCAAACAGCUUUUGUGUUUACUUGUAAGAAUUUGUUCUGUUGGGUAAGGUUCUCUUUAAGCUGGAAACUUACUACUGAGACUAAUAUUUCCAUGUAAUCACCAUAAGCCAAUACUGCAAUAAAGAAUGGUCUUUAG
rnacentral:lncRNA from 1 species